rnacentral:sRNA from 1 species
AUUAGUGUGGAAGAGAAGAGAUGGGAGGAUACACACCAAUACGAUUCGUGUGUUGUGGUGCUCCGUUACACAACGAUACACAACGGGAAUAAUUUAUAUUUUAAAGUUAGUAUAUAUAAAAUUUUGUAAAUUAUAUUUAUUUAUAAAAUAUUUUAUUUUAUAGUUUACAAUUGUUAUUAAGUAACGUCCUGUCAAACCCGUCCCGCCAAACCCGUCCCGUAAAAAAACUAUUAUUUU